AGAAAAUCGAAGUUUUUGCUCUUUAUGUUUUAGCCACAAAUGUUGAUGACACAGAGCUUUGUUCCCACCAUGCGUAUGGGCUUUAUUAUUAUUAUGAACUAUUAUUAACUAUUUUAUGGAUUUCAUCCUUCAAUGUUUGUGUUUUUGGACAAUAAAAAGAAGUUAAAAGCUACUACAUACAUUAAAUUGGGAAGUACCCAUGCAGCAACAGUAAUAAAAACAUGUUUUAGAAAAGGAAACAUGUGCCGUGUUACACUGCCGGUUCCAAGUCCAAAUAAAGAAGUAAGGAAGUAAUUUUCUUUUAACUGGCGCAAUCGUAUGUUUUAUUUUUGGCGCAAAUGAAACCAUCUAAUUUUAAAACAUGUGGCGCAAACGUAGCAUUUGAGAAAAAAAGUUGUGGCGCAAAAGGACGCAUUUUUGGCGCAAACGGAUCUCUUCCGUUA
rnacentral:lncRNA from 1 species